UACAGAGGGUGCGAGCGUUAAUCGGAAUUACUGGGCGUAAAGCGUGCGUAGACGGUUAUUUAAGUCGGGUGUGAAAGCCCGGGCUCAACCUGGGAAUUGACAUUCGAGACUGAAUAGCUAGGGUACGGUAGAGGGAAGUGGAAUUCCGGUGUAGCGGUGAAAUGCGUAGAUAUCGGAAAGGAACAUCAGUGGCGAAAAGCGGACUUCC
rnacentral:rRNA from 1 species